GGCUCUCUCAGAGAAUCCCAACAGAGGGGACCUGAGUGCUGGGUUUGGGGCACCGAGGACACCCCACUGGCAGGUGCCCCUGGGAGCUCUGGGCUGAGAGACAUGAGGCCUUUUUCUAGCCACAUGUCAAAACAGAGCUGUAAAAUUAACAACAGUAAUAAGAGUUAUAAUAACAGAGCACCCAGUGGGAGUUUACGAUGUGAUUUAAUCCUCAAAAUAACCUGGAGAGGAAAUGUUUGCAAACACAUCUCUGAUAAAGGGCUCAGCCCCAAGUGCAAAGAAUUCUUACGACUCAAUCCUAAGAAAACAAAUAACCCAAUUUUUUUUAAAUGUGCAAAAAACCUUCACAGGCACCUCACCAAAGAAGAUAUCCAGACGUCAAAAGCUCAGCACGAUGAGGCGUUAGGGGAAUGAAGACAAACCACGGUGAGAUCCCACUGCACAGCUAUUCGAAUGAGCCGAAGUGGGAAGAUGACAGCCCCAAGUGUGGGCCGCGGUGUGCAAAGACGGGGACUCACGCGUUGCUGGAGGGAAUGCAAAAUGACACCACCACCCUGGACAGCUGCUUGGUAGUCUCCAGAAUUAAAUAUACUUUUGCUUACAACCCAGCCCUUCCACUCCCAAGAGAAAAACCAAACCACCAAAAAAAAAAACAAAAAAAAAAAAAACCUGUAUGCAAAUAGUUAUAGACAUAUUCCUCAUAACUGAAACAAAAAACUCUAGAGUCCGUCAAUUUGAGAAUGGAAAAGCUAACACUGACCGGUGGAAUACUACUCGGCCACAAAGAAGGAAAGAGGUUCGUAUACAGGCUUCAGCACAGUGAGUCUCAAAUGCAUUAUGCCAAGUCCAAGCAGCCAGACUAGAGAGACAGCAUUCGGUGAGAUUGCACCUGUGUGCCAUUCUGGACAAGGCAGAACUUCAGGGACACAAACAGAAGGGAAGAAGGGAGGCCUGAGAACCAGCUUCACUCCCCGACUUGAUAGCAGCUCUGUCCAUCCAUUUCUCUGUCUGGGCCUCAGUUUCCACCUCUGCGACGAGGAACUACAACAGAACCGCCCUCAGCGAGCUCAAAGGGUUGGAAGUGCCGCCUAUGGCCUCACCCCCACCAACCCAAACAGCGGCUCUCACGCUGGGUGAGGAAAAUGAAUUAAGAAGCUCCUGUUGAGAAUCCGGAGAACCCAGGAUAGGCCCACACAGGACAGUCCCUCCGGACUUCGCCUCUGCCCCUCUCCAUGCUGCUCCCUUUCAUCUGAUACCCUGCCUGGUCGUCAGCCAAGUAGGCUCAACCCUCGGUCCACUCCAGAAGACCCCAAAGGCCUCCAGGUCUGGGGAGGACCCACCCCAUCCCUUCAGGAGGCUCCCACCAGGCCCAUCCUGGGGGCUUGUCCUCCACUCAGAUGUCAGACUCUGAACUUAGCCCUGGUUGGAAUCCUGGCUCCACUGUCCAGCACCAGGGAGAACUUGGGACAGUUCUCAGCCUCUCCAAAGCCGGGUCCCUGCAUUUGUGUGGUCCCUGGGCCUCAGGGAGGGUGUGAGGAUGAAUGAAGUCAGGCACAGGGAGCACCUGCACAGCACCUGGCCCGAGGAGCGCUCAACAGGUGUUUCUGCUGGUAUCCUUUUCCUCAGAGGACAAUCACACAGGUGGGGAAAAGUACAUGUGUGAACGUACUCCGUGCGGUGAAAAACUGGAAAUGGAUUUAAAUGCUCAACAAUAGGGAACUGUUAGGUGGUUAUUGUAUCCUCACGAUGGGAGAGUCAGCAGGGGAGACAGAGAUGCUCCACCUAGAAAUGACCCAAAGAGGCCUCAGUCCAGGACCGUGGCAGGGAUGGGUCAGGCCUGCCCCGCCGCUGCGGAUGGCCCCCGGUACCACCCAGGGACGAGAAGACUGCGGGGCGGGACAGGGCUGAGGACCACACGGGACCCGACACAGCAGAGCUCAGGACACACUUACUGUGACAUGCUCACUUCAAGUUAGAAAAUGGGAAGAAAGAAUAUAUAUUUGUUCUUACUUGGUUUAUGUGCGGAAAACUGGAACAAAUGAUGAGCAAGUAAAAAGGCUUCCCCCUCUGUGUGGUGGGGAGGAGGAAGACGGGACUCUGAGGCCAAUUGUUCCUGGUUGUGUGUGUGUGUGUGUGUUUAUUUGUGUGUGUUUAUCUUCUUUAUUUUUAGAGAGAGACAAAGAGAGAAACAUCAAUCAGU